UCGAGCGAACGGACGAAAGCUUGCUUCUCUGAUGUUAGCGGCGGACGGGUGAGUAACACGUGGAUAACCUACCUAUAAGACUGGGAUAACUUCGGGAAACCGGAGCUAAUACCGGAUAAUAUUUUGAACCGCAUGGUUCAAAAGUGAAAGACGGUCUUGCUGUCACUUAUAGAUGGAUCCGCGCUGCAUUAGCUAGUUGGUAAGGUAACGGCUUACCAAGGCAACGAUGCAUAGCCGACCUGAGAGGGUGAUCGGCCACACUGGAACUGAGACACGGUCCAGACUCCUACGGGAGGCAGCAGUAGGGAAUCUUCCGCAAUGGGCGAAAGCCUGACGGAGCAACGCCGCGUGAGUGAUGAAGGUCUUCGGAUCGUAAAACUCUGUUAUUAGGGAAGAACAUAUGUGUAAGUAACUGUGCACAUCUUGACGGUACCUAAUCAGAAAGCCACGGCUAACUACGUGCCAGCAGCCGCGGUAAUACGUAGGUGGCAAGCGUUAUCCGGAAUUAUUGGGCGUAAAGCGCGCGUAGGCGGUUUUUUAAGUCUGAUGUGAAAGCCCACGGCUCAACCGUGGAGGGUCAUUGGAAACUGGAAAACUUGAGUGCAGAAGAGGAGAGUGGAAUUCCAUGUGUAUCGGUGAAAUGCGCAGAGAUAUGGAGGAACACCAGUGGCGAAAGCGAGUUUCUGGUCUGUAACUGACGCUGAUGUGCGAAAUCGUGGGGAUCAAACACGAUUAUAUACCCUGGUGUUCCUCCCCGUCAACGACGAUUGCUGCGUGUUGGGGGGUUUCCCCUCUCUCCUUCUGGCACUACGUUUCAGUAUUCAACUGCCCAGCAGUCGGACCGUUGUUCUUCAACUAAUGAAUAAGAACGCGC
rnacentral:rRNA from 1 species